CAAAAACCUCACCUCCCAGUCCACGAAAUGCUCCACCACCACCUCCUCUCCUCCUCCGCCUCCUCCUUCCCUCCCGCCGCCGCGCAAUCACUCCUCCUCCUCCCGAGACCGCCGGCCGCCAUCCUCCGCGCCCUCAUCUCCAUGGCCGCCUCGACCUCGAGCUCGAUCCCGUUCCGCCCCCCGCGCGCCGUGCUGGCGGCGGCGGUGCCGUCCCUCGGCGCCGAGGAGACCGCGGCCGCGGCCGACGAGGCCUUCCGGAGGCACACCUCGCCGGGCCUUCGGAGGGCAGUCGGCGCGGGGGGCGUGGCCGUCGUGUGGUUCAGGAGCGACCUCCGGGUGCUGGACAACGAGGCGCUGGCGCGCGCGUGGGCGGCCUCCGGCGUCGUCCUCCCCGUCUACUGCGUCGACCCCCGCGCCCUCGCCGGCGCCACCCACCGCUUCGGCUUCCCCAAGACCGGAGCAUUGAGGGCGCAGUUCCUGAUAGAGUGCCUGGGAGACCUGAAGCGGAACCUGCAGAAGCGCGGGCUCGACCUGCUCGUCCGGCACGGCAAGCCUGAAGACAUCCUCCCUGCGAUCGCCAAGGCCGUCAGUGCACACACAGUCUAUGCCCACAAGGAGACCUGCAGCGAGGAGCUCCUCGUGGAGCGCCUCGUGCGCAGAGGCUUGGAGCAGGUGGUUCUCCCUCAAGGACAGGGAGGAGCUUCUGGCCGGAAUAAUAGGCCUCUCAGCCCCAAGCUUCAGCUCGUCUGGGGAGCGACGAUGUACCACACCGACGAUCUCCCGUUCCCGGUGAGCAACCUGCCGGACGUGUACACACAGUUCAGAAAGGCGGUCGAGUCGAAGUCCUCGGUCCGGAGCUGUGGCAAGCUGCCGCCUUCGCUCGGGCCGGCCCCGGGCUCCGGCCUGGAUGAGCUCGGCGGGUGGGGGUCGAUACCGACUCUGGAGUCACUGGGCCUAAGUGUAACGAAGUCAGAGAAGGGAAUGCGUUUCGUCGGAGGGGAGAGCGCGGCUCUCGGAAGGGUUCACGAGUACUUCUGGAAGAAUGAUCAGGUGAAAGUCUACAAAGAGACCAGGAACGGCAUGCUUGGGCCGGACUACUCCACCAAGUUCUCCCCUUGGCUUGCCUCCGGCAGCCUUUCGCCGCGCUAUGUUUGCGAAGAGGUUAAGAGAUAUGAGAAGCAGCAAGUGGCAAAUGAUUCCACAUACUGGGUUUUGUUUGAGCUGAUAUGGAGGGACUACUUCAGAUUCCUUUCAGCAAAAUAUGGGAACUCCAUUUUCCACUUGGGGGGGCCGAGAAAAGUGGCGUCCAAGUGGAGCCAAGAUGAGGCGUUGUUCGAAUCUUGGAAAGAUGGUCGGACCGGGUACCCUCUUAUUGAUGCCAACAUGAAGGAGCUCUUAGCUACUGGUUUCAUGUCCAACCGUGGCCGUCAGAUUGUCUGCUCUUUUUUGGUCCGGGACAUGGGUAUCGACUGGCGAAUGGGAGCUGAAUGGUUUGAAACAUGCCUUCUGGAUUAUGACCCGGCUUCUAAUUAUGGCAAUUGGACAUAUGGAGCAGCUGGACCCUUGACAGGAGUUGGCAAUGAUCCACGAGAAGACCGAUACUUUAGCAUACCCAAGCAAGCCAAGACGUACGAUCCUGACGGCAAAUAUGUCGCGUACUGGCUACCGGAGCUCCGGUCGCUAGCAAAGGAAAGGAGAAACUUCCCAGGCGCUUCAUACAUCAAGCAGGUCGUCCCACUGAAGUUUGAUGGUGGGCAUCAGAGAAAAGAUCAGCAAUUCAACAGGCAGACAAGGCCAAAGAACAUUUACAGAAGACAAAAAUGACAGUAUGUGUUGAUAAUAUAUACCAUCAAUCAAGAGUCAGUGGGAUAUAGAGCAAAUGUUACAGCAAUCGGUUGAAAAGCAAACGAGAUGUGAAGCUUCAGAAAGCUUCUGUGAAAUGUAUGUAUCAGUGACAAGGUGAGCUCAGAAAUACAAAACAUGAUCCUGAUCUUGCUGUACCGACCAACAGUCAAUGGGUUCCAGCAAUA
rnacentral:rRNA from 1 species